GAACGGCUGGCGGCGUGCCUAAUACAUGCAAGUCGUACGAGGGAAGUCCAGCUGCUGGACGGAACGAGUGGCGAACGGGUGAGUAAUACGUAAGCAACCUGCCUGCAAGGACUGGGAUAACACCUGGAAACGGGCGCUAAUACCGGAUAGGUAACAAAGGGGCAUCCCUAUGUUAUUAAAGGUUAGAAACACAAGCAGAUGGGCUUACGGUGCAUUAGCUAGUUGGUGAGGUAACGGCCUACCAAGGCGAUGAUGCAUAGCCGGCCUGAGAGGGUGAACGGCCACAUUGGGACUGAGACACGGCCCAGACUCCUACGGGAGGCAGCAGUAGGGAAUUUUCGGCAAUGGACGAAAGUCUGACCGAGCAACGCCGCCGUGAGUGAAGAAGGUUUUCGGAUUGUAAAGCUCUGUUGUAAGGGAAGAACAGCACGGAAAGAAUCCGUGAAUGACGGUACCUUACCAGAAAGCCACGGCUAACUACGUGCCAGCCGCUGC
rnacentral:rRNA from 1 species